UACAGAGGGCGCGAGCGUUGUCCGGAAUCACUGGGCGUAAAGGGCGCGUAGGCGGCCUUCUAAGUCGAACGUGAAAUCCCCGGGCUCAACCCGGGAACUGCGUCCGAGACUGGAAGGCUCGAAUCCGGGAGAGGGAUGUGGAAUUCCAGGUGUAGCGGUGAAAUGCGUAGAUAUCUGGAGGAACAUCGGUGGCGAAGGCGGCAUCCUGGACCGGUAUUGACGCUGAGGCGCGAAAGCCAGGGGAGCAAACGGG
rnacentral:rRNA from 1 species